rnacentral:lncRNA from 1 species
UUGUAAAAGGUCCGACUUGACAAUGAAAAUAUACCAAAGACUGUGUCAAGAAAGAGUACUUUGGAAAGGAAGGUACUGAAAGUGUUUGCUAGGCAGGGGCAUUUACUGCUCCUGCAAGCCAUUCUGCCAUUCUGCAAAGAAGGAUUUUAAGAGUUUUGAGAUUAUGAUCUGAAGAGGAGCAGAUCUGCCAUGAGUUUGUGUACAGUUGUCCAAAAUACCUGAGACUCCCCAGUCCCAGUUUAUGAGAGAAGUUCAAGUGAAAAAUAUCCAUGAAUACCUGACAAAUUUCUGGCUCCGAGAGGUGAAGCCCACGGAGAGGGUGUCUUACACUACUGAAAAUGUACAAAAUUAUCAAGUACAGCAUAGGAAUGAGAGGUUGCUGUUGUCUGGAGAGCAGCGCUGUUCACCUCGGAAGGGUCUGGUCUCGGGAUGCAGGAGAUGA